rnacentral:tRNA from 1 species
GGCAAAAUAAGAAAUAGUAGAAAUGGUAAAAAGGCGCGGUUGAAAAUCCGCGUGUCCCUGGUUCAAUUCCAGGUUCGGCCACCA